ACUUGAUGCCAGUGUUGCCACAUUUGUAUUUGUCUCUUAUCAGAAUAAAGACUUAACGAAAGGGGGACUCUUUUGUAAUAGUUCUACUUAACCAGAUAUCAGAUCAGACUCAUUUGGUUGGGAGGGCCUUAAUUCAACAAUAAAUAGAGCAUCAUUUCUGAGCACAAUAUUAUUCAACUAGACCCUCUUCACAGACUGCUGAUAACUGCUGAAUUGUGAAGGUCUUCUGUGAUACUGAUACAUUGAUGUAUUCCAGGAUGGCCAUACGUGUGAUUGUGUUUCUAACACUUUUUGCUGGACUGUGCAUCGCUGAUUCCAAAGAUUUGAUAUCAUAUUGAACAGGGAAUCUUGCUCUUAAUGGCAUGGCUGUGCAGUCCUCCCCAGACAACCCGCUGGGAGAUGCUCAACAUGCAGUAGAUGGAAACAGAGGCUCAGAUGCCAG